UACCUUAAUGUUGCCUCGGCGGAUCAGCCCGCGCCCCGUAAAACGGGACGGCCCGCCAGAGGACCCAAACUCUAAUGUUUCUUAUUGUAACUUCUGAGUAAAACAAACAAAUAAAUCAAAACUUUCAACAACGGAUCUCUUGGUUCUGGCAUCGAUGAAGAACGCAGCAAAAUGCGAUAAGUAAUGUGAAUUGCAGAAUUCAGUGAAUCAUCGAAUCUUUGAACGCACAUUGCGCCCGCUGGUAUUCCGGCGGGCAUGCCUGUUCGAGCGUCAUUUCAACCCUCAAGCCCCCGGGUUUGGUGUUGGGGAUCGGCUCUGCCCUUCUGGGCGGUGCCGCCCCCGAAAUACAUUGGCGGUCUCGCUGCAGCCUCCAUUGCGUAGUAGCUAACACCUCGCAACUGGAACGCGGCGCGGCCAUGCCGUAAAACCCCAACUUCUGAAUGUUGACCUCGGAUCAGGUAGGAAUACCCGCUGAACUUAAGCAUAU
rnacentral:rRNA from 1 species